AUCAUCAAUACUAUCACUAUCUUCGUUUUUGCUAGCGUUCUGGUUAUAUCUCGUAUUGCCUACCCACCCCAAU